GACGAACGCUGGCGGCGUGCUUAACACAUGCAAGUCGAACGAUGAUGCUCCAGCUUGCUGGGGUGGAUUAGUGGCGAACGGGUGAGUAACACGUGAGUAACCUGCCCCCUUCUUCGGGAUAAGCUUGGGAAACUGGGUCUAAUACUGGAUAUUCUGCAAUUGUCGCAUGGUGGUUGUGGGAAAGAUUUUUUGGUGGGGGAUGGGCUCGCGGCCUAUCAGCUUGUUGGUGGGGUGAUGGCCUACCAAGGCGUCGACGGGUAGCCGGCCUGAGAGGGUGACCGGCCACACUGGGACUGAGAUACGGCCCAGACUCCUACGGGAGGCAGCAGUGGGGAAUAUUGCACAAUGGGCGCAAGCUUGAUGCAGCGACGCCGCGUGAGGGAUGACGGCUUUCGGGUUGUAAACCUCUUUCGAUGGGGAACAAGGCCAUAUUUUUGUGUGGUGGAGGGUACCUGUAUAAGAAGCGCCGGCGAACUACGU
rnacentral:rRNA from 1 species